AGUUGUAAUUUGGAGAGGAUGUUUUGGGCACCGCGGCGGUGUAAAUUUCUUGGAACAGAAUGUCAGAGAGGGUGAGAAUCCCGUCUUGGACCGCCGUAGGACCCGUGUAAAACUCCUUCGACGAGUCGACUUGUUUGGGAAUGCAGGUCAAAAUGGGUGGUAAAUUUCAUCUAAAGCUAAAUAUUGGCCAGAGACCGAUAGCGCACAAGUAGAGUGAUCGAAAGAUGAAAAGCACUUUGAAAAGAGAGUUAAACAGUAUGUGAAAUUGUUGAAAGGGAAGCGCUGGCAACCAGACUCGUACGCGGGGUUCCCCCUUGCUUCUGCUUGGGUUACUUCCCCGCGUCCGGGCCAUCAUCAGUUUUGGGGGCCGGUCAAAGGCCCCGGGAAAGUAUCCUCUCUCUCGGGGGAGGACUUAUAGCCCGGGGUGUCAUGCGGCCUCCCGGGACUGAGGAACGCGCUUCGGCGAGGAUGAUGGCGUAAUGGUUGUCAGCGACCCGUCUUGAAA
rnacentral:rRNA from 1 species